GCCUAGUUAGCUUAGUUGGUAGUGCGUCUGCCUUGUAAGCGCUAGCCCGCGGGUUCGAUUCCCGCCCGGGGCG
rnacentral:tRNA from 1 species